CCUACGGGAGGCAGCAGUGAGGAAUAUUGGUCAAUGGUCGGGAGACUGAACCAGCCAAGCCGCGUGAGGGAUGAAGGUACAGAGUAUCGUAAACCUCUUUUGUCAGGGAACAAAGGCGGGGACGUGUCCCCGGAUGAGUGUACCUGAAGAAAAAGCAUCGGCUAACUCCGUGCCAGCAGCCGCGGUAAUAGGGAGGAGGCGAGCGUUAUCCGGAUUUAUGGGGGUAAAAGGGUGCGCAGGCGGUCUGGUAAGUCAGCGGUAAAACCCCGGGGUUAAACCCCGGCCCGCCGUUGAAACUGGCAGUCUCGAGUUGGAGAGAAGUAUGCGGAAUGCGCGGUGUAGCGGUGAAAUGCAUAGAUAUCGCGCAGAACUCCGAUUGCGAAGGCAGCAUGCCGGCUCCACACUGACGCUGAGGCACGAAAGCGUGGGUAUCGAACAGGAUUAGAUACCCGAGUAGUC
rnacentral:rRNA from 1 species